AUGAGGAAGAGAACAAAUACUUGGCUGAAUGAGCUCUUAGAUGAUGGUGAUGUUUAUCUCCCUGAUCUCGGCACGGUGAAAAGAAUGGCAUGCAGGGGUUGCUGCCCAAGCCUCGGUGCUCCUGGAGAGUCCUGCGUUAGAGGAAGCAGCUGCACGAUCUGCUGUGCCGUGGGGUUGUGGUGGGGAGAACCCUCUCUGGCCUCUCCUGGUGCAGGCUCCACGCUGUCAGUGAGGCUCAGCCACGAAGAUCUUCAGACAGAGGGAGGAGGGGAUCUGAGGCCCCCUGUCCCCAGGAGCCUGGCCAGCCAAGACUCACAUCCCCAGGUGAGCGGUAACCACCAGAAGCGGCGGUGUCAGGGCUACUGCCAUUGAUUUUCUUUUUCCUGUUAGCUCCCGCUGGAACGCCAGGGCUCUUCCUCUGCCAGUAUUCUUUUAACUGUGGGAAAGAGGAGCAGUGACACUCAUGAGAACUAUCAGCCCCUACAGCCACACCCUCCUUCACAGUUUUGACCAAAUACUCUUCUACACCAUCUGAUUUAAUGCCACCACCAACUCUACAAGGUGUUGUCACAAUCCUUUAGUGACUGAGAGGGAUAUCAUGGUUAGAAAAAAAAAAAGAAAAAAAGAGAAAGGCAAUACUGGAACUUAAACUCAGUUUUCUGACUCCAAGCUCUGGGGUUUUGCCAUGAAUCAGCAUCUGCCAGGGACCAAAACCGGGGCGGAGUUAGAACAGUAAACAUGAAGGAGGCAGGAACUGUAUGCCAUGUGGUUUAGAGUCAUACAUCCUCACAUGUCCGUUAGUGUGAAGAAGUGCACCAGUACCUCUCACACUUUCAUAUAAAUGUGUCCUCAUGACAGAAGGCAGCUUUUUUGUUAAAUCUGGGAAUUUUUCAGAAAGAGGACAACCCAAGCCUGAUUUCAGAGAGAAGUCUGUAUAUACUUCGAAACCUAUGUGACUGUCAUCCCUAAGGACAUUAAUGUUCGAUCUGAAGAGAAUCAAGGGAAACUGAUGCUUCAGAAAGAUGUCCCACAUUCAUCCUGUAGCACUCAAAGUACCCCAGGUUUGAGAUGAUAUGAGCAAGAUUCAAGCUGUCAGUUUAGUUUUCCAAGAUCUACUCUACUGAAGAUGAACUAAUCUCACUUCAGAGACCACUGACUGAAGGGCCAUCUGGUCCCAGAACUGUGGAGAACUCAGAAAAGAAUGUUAAAGUCUCUCUGCAAAGUAGAAGCCUGGGAGAAAACCAAACCAAACCCGUUCUCCCAUGGCCACCCAGAGAUACUGUCAAGGUUUUGAGCACACAGGGGAAGUGGAGGCUUUUCCCACUGUCAAUGUCUAUGUGAAGGGAGUAAGGCAGCCUGAAACCUCUUGUUCCUGGGUCCCAUAGUCCCCAUUCCCCUUCCAACUGGAAAUUUGUGCUGUGACCAGAGGAUCCGGAAAUGGGGUGAGAAAACUUAGGGGACUGGGUUGUAAGAUCAACGGCUGGUCUUGCAGCAGUAAUGGCAGUUCCUAGGAGGACUGUGACAUCACUACAUUCCAUUCCUCCCAGGGGAGGGGACCACAUCAGCGUGAUGCCCGAGUCGCCACUCCAUGAUGGGGGAGGGAAACACAGGGUUUGGACCCAGGUCCUUGGAGACACCAGCUGAAGGAGCCCAGGGAGGUGGAGGUUGGGGCAGCAGGAGGGGAGGGCAGAGUCCGCAGUAGGGAGCCCCGGGAAUCACCAGCCUAAAGUCACCCAAGGAUGACUGGCAACGGUGGGGCCUGGGGCUGGGGUACCCAGGUCCUGGGAGACGCAAGCCCAAAGAGCCCAGGAAGGUCAGGCUUGGGGCAGCAGGAGGUGAGGGCCGAGUAUGGAGCGAGGUGCCCCCGGUGUCACCCGCCCAAAGUCACCCUGGGGUAAAGAUCGGCAAGGGCAGGGAUUGGGCUGCUUGCUGAAGGGGUGGGGCUGACUGACAAGAAUUUGGUGGGGGGAGCCCAGAGUCACUGGUGUUGGGGGUCCCAUUCCAGUAUGCCUGAGGAAUAGUAUGGGCUCUGGCAAUGGUCUUGUCGUCGGAGAGGAUCUGUGGUUGGGUUGGGGGCUAUGACCUGGUGCAUUUUACCUUUUUCUUGGCUGUGGUGAAUUUUCCCUGUCGUGUUUUUUCUGACAUCAUGGGGUGCGGAGGGAGGCAGGGUUGGGGUCACAUCAGCGAA
ensembl:lncRNA